rnacentral:lncRNA from 13 species
CCCCAGGGGCCAAGGAAACUCACACUGUUGUCUUGGCUCUGCUAUCAGCCUGCUGGGGGACUUAAGGGCAGGUGCUUCAGUUUCCUCAUCUGUCACAGGGCAUGCAGAUGCCAACUCUGUCUCCCUCACAGGUCCCUGUGUGUAACUGGACAAGGGGUGAGGUUGCUCGUUACAUGGCAGAGACAGGGAAUACAACCUCCCCGGUCCGCAGCUCCUGUGGCUCUAAGGAAAGAGAAGCCUCCACACUUGGCACCUGUGGGAACCCAACCCUGGCUGCCCACCCCAGCAGGUGAGUGCCACACAGUUCAGUCCCUGGCUUCCACUCC